UACAGAGGGUGCGAGCGUUGUCCGGAAUCACUGGGCGUAAAGGGCGCGUAGGCGGUCGGAUAAGCGUGCGGUGAAAGCCCGGGGCUCAACCCCGGGUCGGCCGUGCGGACUGUUCGACUGGAGCACUGUAGAGGCAGGUGGAAUUCCGGGUGUAGCGGUGGAAUGCGUAGAGAUCGGGAAGAACAUCGGUGGCGAAAGCGCUCUACUGGACCGCAACUGACACUCAGGGACGAAAGCUAGGGGAGCGAAUGGG
rnacentral:rRNA from 1 species